rnacentral:rRNA from 1 species
UACGGAGGGUGCAAGCGUUAUCCGGAUUUACUGGGCUUAAAGGGUGCGUAGGUGGGUCUGUAAGUCAGUGGUGAAAUCUCCGGGCUUAACCCGGAAACUGCCAUUGAUACUAUAGAUCUUGAAUAUCCUGGAGGUGAGCGGAAUAUGUCAUGUAGCGGUGAAAUGCUUAGAUAUGACAUAGAACACCAAUUGCGAAGGCAGCUCACUACGGGAUUAUUGACGCUGAGGCACGAAAGCGUGGGGAUCAAACAGG